CCUUUUGAUGUGUUGAUAUUUAAACCUCUCAAAAUGCAAAUACUAAUCGGUUGGCCUCCUAUAUAUAAGUACUAAUCUCCAAUCUGUCAACCUUUUGUGCUUUUAAUUUUGAAAUAACCACUAUGGAGUCACAUUCCAAAAGAACACGGCGAAAACUCAUGUGUUGUGCAAGCGGAAUGGCCUGAACUGCAGCUAAGGCCUCUGCCACUUCAGCAGAUAGGACAUUCCUGUUCCAAGUACUAGAGGCUCCCAUUACCAACCCUGCCUCAUCUUUUAUGACGGAUAUUGCGUUGGAAAAUUGUAGAUUCUUAUAAAAACCUACAUCAAAGUUUACUUUUAACCAUCAGGGCUCUGGAGGGCACCAUCUCACCGGAGGUCCUUACGUGCUUGUCGGGUAAGUCUUCUCCAAUAGCACCAGUUCUUUAACAUAUCCUAGCACAAAAUUACACAAAUCAUUUACUAUUUGUCUUCUGCCUUCAUGCAUCAAUUUAUUUCGCAACAUCAGAGAUUUGCCUACAUAUAUGUAGAUUUUGUCUAGUAGGCACAUAGUUAUGUAUAAUUCUCCAUGUCGUAAUUUUCAUCUUUUCUAGGACUUUUGUUUCCCAAAGGUAUUUGUAUAAAAGCCUCAUGUAGGUCUCAAUAUCUCUGUAAAGAUCAUCAUCUGACCUAGGAAAACCCCUCAAUGGCACUCGGUAGCCACUCUGGACUGUAUACAUACCAGACUCAUCAGGACACCAUCGUAUUUAUCUACUAGGCCAUUGGGCGGCAACGGGAUACAAAGAAUCCUCUUAGCCUCUUACUCAUUAAAGGUAUUCCUCACAACAAAAUCUUUCCAAGUCCCUUCUUUAGCAUCAAUCAAAUCUGCAACCAUAGAAAUACCAUCAACCUUGUCUAAUUGAAUAAUCGUUGGUUUGUCCCCAGGCAACCAAGUUGUAUCCCAUACCGGAAUAUGCUCACUAUUCCAAAGCUUCAGCUGCUACCUUUCAGCAAAAGUCCCUUUACGGCCAAGACACUCCUCCAAAUUGCCGAAAGUUGACUCUUUAACUCAAUUCUCAUGAAAUCACUAUCCGCAUAAUAUUUAGAUUGCAAAAUUGAUGCUACUAGAGAUAUAGGGUUACAAAUAAGUCUCCAACCUUGUUUAGCUAGAAGCGCAAAAUUAAAUUUGGCUAGCUGCCUAAACCCCAAUCCACCCUAUUUCUUUAAAUUACAUAAAGCCUCCCAUGUACCCCAAUGUAUUCCACGAUUUGAUUGGAAUUUUUGCCACCAUUAGCAACUAAACACGAUUUCAAUAUCCUCGCAAAAGGUUUUUGGUAAUAGAAAACAUGAAAUGACAUAAGUAGGCCUAGCUUGUAAGACCGAUUUAAUAAAAAAAUUUUACCUCCCUAUGACAACCAACGAUUGGACCACCCACUGAUUUUUCCUUUAAUUCAAUCCAAAAUAAGAUAGAAUGCAGCUCUCUUAUUACGCCCUAUUAUUAUGAGAAGGCCCAAAUACUUCUCCGGGUUUUAAGGGCAUCUCACCCUAACUCAUUUUCCACUAAAACCCGGGUCUCAUCAGCAACUCUUGAACUAAAGUAGACCAGAGACUUACUAAAGUUAAUAACCUGCCCGAAACAAGCCUCGUAUUCAGCCAAAACAUUCUUAAUAUUUGUCGCCCUAGCCACUAAUGCCUCCCUAAAUAAAAUAUUGUUGUUAGUACGAGCGACUCAACUUUGCCCAUUUUACCAACCUAUCCUGUAUCGCUAACCGGAGCAAAACAGACAACCCCUCUAUGCAAAACAAGAAUAAGAAAUGGCUUAGAGGGUCACCUUGUUUUAGCCCACAAGUGGGUGAAAUAAAACCUCUGGUUUGCCUAUUCAACACCACUAAAUAACUAACAGUCUUCACGCAUCUCAUAACCAGCUCAACCAAAUCCACUCGAAAACCUAUUUUUAACAUCAUAUCUUCAAUCAUAUGUCAUUCCACCCUAUCAUAGGCCUUACUCAUAUCCAAAUUAAGCGCAAAAAAUCCACAUCUAUUCUCAGUCCUUUUUUUUUUAAAGAAUGUAGCAACUCAAAUACGACAAUAACAUUAUAUGCUAUAAGUCUACCUGGUAUGAACGCACUCUGUGCUUCAUUAAUACAAUGAGGCAUAAUCAUUUGUAAUUGAUGGACAAUUUCCUUAGUAAUAAUUUUCAAAAUAACAUUACAUAAGCUUAUUGGACGAAAGUGUGUCAUAUUAAUAGGCAUAGAUUGUUUUGGGAUAAGCACAAUAUUUUUAUGAUUAACCUCUACCAUUGGUCCUCUAUUAUUCAUAAUAUCAAGGCAUUAAGAGCUUACCUCUAAGCUAAUAAUGUGCCAAAACUGUUGGUAGAACAAAGUCGGCAUACCAUCCUCCCUCGGUGCCUUUGUAGGAUACAUUCUCCACAUCGCCGCACCAAUCUUUUCUUCAGUGAAUCGAGAGCACAAAAAAUCAUCCAUGCCAUCAGAAACAUGAACUAGAAUUCCCAUCAAAAGCCUUGUAUUAUCGCCCCUACCCCUUGAAGUAACCAGAUCAGUGAAGUAUCUACACGCAAUUUGUUGCAUCUCCUCAUUUCCCGCACUCAUUCUACCUUCUUCAUCUUCGAGCUGUCCUACAUAAUUAAUUUUCCUACGUUGGAAAUCCAUUCUUUGAAAAAACCCAGUAUUACGAUCCUCAUUCCUCAACCAGUUAGCUCUUGCUCUCUGUUCCCAAUAGCGUUCCCUUUUUAACAAUCUCCAAAUUGAGCUAUAUUUUUGUGAUGACCAAUUACUCCAGCGCUUCAUUAGUCGGAUAUGAAUUAUUAAGCUCGUCAAGCUUCUACCUUAAUUUAUCCAAGGUCAUUCGAGACAACUGUCUAUUCUCUCAAGCCCAAUUCAUCAAACCACGCUCGACAUAUCGAAUUAUAUCCAGUAUAGACCCAUCUGAGCUAUUCCAUAAUCUUUUAACCUCUCUUUUACAAGACUCUUCAAGCAAUAAUGUUGCUUCAAAUCUAAACUCACAUGUACUUUGUUCCUGUUGAUCUACCCUCCUACAAAUGUUAAGUAAAAUUGGGCAAUGAUCAGUUAUCGAAUGCAUGCAAUGCUUGAGAGAAAAAUUAGGAAAUAAAUUAUUCCAUUUUGGAUUUGCCACUCCCCUAUCAAGCAUUUCCUGUAUGUUAUUGUGGGCCAAUCUCCAAUGUUCCCAUGUAAACUAGUGGUCUUGAUAUCCCAAAUUCGACAAAUUACAAUCUUCCAAAGCUAUCAUGAAAGCCUCAAUUCCUCGCUCAUCCCUCAGCCUCCCCUUUGUUUCUCAUAAGAAUACAUAAUCUCAUUAAAAUCCUCCAUAAUCAGCCACAGUAUCGCACUUUUAGUAGAAAAAUCUCGUAAAUGAUCCUACAAAUAGUGUCUCAAGUUCUUUACAGGAUGCCCAUAAAACCCAGUAAACCUCCAAUGAGCACUUUCUACUUCUUCAAUAUUUAUAUCAAUAUGGCUCAACGAGAAGCUCCAUUCUAAAGAUAAACCACCCACUGUACCAUCACUACUAAUAUUGAUUCCCUCCAUCAAUCCCCAGCUCCUCCAUCUUCGAACUAUGUAUCUUUGUUUUCAUGAAAAAGUUACAUCAGGAUUAAUCUCCCUCAGCACCUACCAAAGGCAAGGUCUUGCACGGGGGUUCCCCAAACCCCAGACAUUUCAGCAUAAUAUUUUCAUUGCAUUCGACUGCUCUGUCUGUAGAGCCAACCGAUAUCUCAGAAUCAUGAACAAAGACAUAUCCAUCAAUAGCUUUCCCUGAAUUCAUUCUACUAGAAACAAAAGAAAACCGAGUAUUACGAGGCCUCUUAUCCCUUUCCCCUAAUUUCUAUUGGACAAUCCUCCUCUAUCAACUCUCUAUUCGGAUCAAGAUUCUCUAAAUCCCCAACAUCAAAAUUUACUCUUCCCCCCAUUUCAAACCAAGAUUGGCCUCUACUUGCCUUAAAAAAAUUGCAUGCAUUUUAGAAUAAACCUUGUAUAUUUUUAUUCUUCCCAUCUUGUCCACUCUCUAGAGUUCUCUUUAGUUCCCUCAAUCGUGGCCCCUCCUCCUUCUCCCUUAAUCACGGACUCGAUGCCACCAUUUCUUGUUUAGGGAUCGCGUUAAUCGAUAAAUUCUAGCUAAGCAGAACCUUUCCGAAUGACCCAAUUUGCGACAUAGAAAAUAGAACGCCGAUAGUUUCUCAUAAUGGAAACACGCAUAGAGAUACCAUUUACUACCCAAAAUAAGCUUCUUAUUCCUUAUUAACGGAUUUCUCAUAUCAAUCCGAACCCGAAUUUUUAUAUAGCCUCUAUACCCUUGAUGUAAAUAUUUCACAUCAUACUCUAAAAAUCACCUUACAAAAUCUCUAAACUAUUUGGCCAUCGUCUCUGACCUCAGGCUUGUUAGGAGAUCGUGAACCUGGACCCAAAAAUCAGACCAACACAGCAACCCUAGCAUGGGAUCCUCCUAUUCCCGCAAUCUAUGAAAUACGAACAAAUGAUUAUUAAAUGUCCAAUGACUCCCUUCCAAAAGUUGAUCCAGAUUUAUCUUAUAAUAGAAUUGAAACAUAAAUCGCUUUUCCCCUAGAUCUGUUAUUGUAACACCUCCAUGCGAAUGCCAUAAAUUAACCAAGGUUGCUUGGUAUUGCACAAUGCUCACUGUUAAGGAAUCGUCGACUACACUCAGAUCCGCCCCCUCCUCUCUCGUCUCCUUGCCCAAAUCGACAUUCCAACCCACCUCCUCUCCAUUAGUAAUCAACAACGCCGUUAAGCCCUAUUUCAUUCUUGAAGCACUACCAUCUAUCAAAACCCUAAACUAGAUUCAAAACGUGCUAUUAGAAGUAGACUAAAAACGUGCUAUUAGAAGUAGACUAACAUGCUUCUUUUCAAAAUUGAAACACAACACUAAAAAUUAAGGGUUGAAAAUUUAAACAUUGAAUUUAAGUUAUAAAAUUUGUUUGUUAUACAUAUUUCUUAAAUUUAAAUAUGAAAUAUAAUUAGAUGAUUUGAUAAAUACAAUUUUAAAAAUUUUAAAAAUAAAGUAUUUAAAAGAUAAAAUAAAUAAAAUAAAAAGAAUUGAAAAUUUUCUACUAAGUGAUAGGUAGCUCUUUAUCUACUUAUCAUUUUCCACACUUUUUCAUUGAAAAAAUUCAAUCAUUUGAUUUUUAUUAUGAAUUAUCAAAUGUGUUAAAAAAUUUAAAUAACUGAAAAUAUUAAUUUUUAGCUAAUUUAUUUUUCAAUGGUUAUCAAACAAGGCUUAGGAGUUGUCUGAUAAAUUAAAAAUUUAAGUGUUGAAAAAUUAAGUACUUAAUUUUAAAUAUAAGUGUUCAAUAUAAUCAUAUUAUUUGGUAAAAGUAAAUAUUGAUUUUGUUAAUUUUAAUUUUAUUAAUAUAAUAUUUCAUAUUAUUUUGGAUAGAUUUAGAUAAAAGUUAAAUAUGAUAAUUGAAUAUCUCAAUUUUAAAAUAUAUAUAUAUAUAAAAUUUUAAUAAAGUAUAAUCAACUAAUUGAGUGUUAAUUAGUUACCUAUCUAUUUAUCCUAUACAACAUUUUUUUUAUUUAAAAUUUUAUAAUAAGUAAAAUAUUAAUAAAAACAUUAUGAAACACAUUUAAAAUAAUAAAAUGUUGAAAUGAAAAUUUGUAAUGAUUGAUUAUUUAACAAUUAUUGAUCAACACUUAAUUUCUUUUCAAUUUAUCAUAGGAUGUUUGGUGGGUUGAAUUGAACCUAUUUUGAAUUAGUGAAAACUUCUCUGAUUCUUUUAGAAAAAUACCCACCUAAUAAUGCAAGGUAAAAAUGCCAAUAAAUUGCCAGUGUUUGAAUUGUUUAGGAAUAUUAGUUUUGUGGGGAAAGGGUUUCUAUUAUUAUUAUUAUUAAAAACUAUUUUUUUGGGGAUUUGUUAUUCCUUGCAUUGCUUUUAUAUUAUUUUAAUUUGAUAGAAACGAAUAUUCUCUUCCUUUUUACUUUAUAUUUUACAAAGUUAAAUUCUUUUUAAAACAAUCAACUUGAGUGGAUUGAGUUUUAGUUCAAUUAACAUGAGUAUUAUUAUCAAUAUAGGAGGAUGUAGAUUCAAGUGUACUAAAACACAUUAUAAAAUUUGUUAACAGAAUCCCACGUGUCUUAAGUUCACUAACAGCAAUAAUAUAUCAUGUUUACGUGUCUCCUUAACGGUGAAAUUAAAUGUGGUCAAAGUAUUUGAUGAACCAUUAAGUGCUGAUGUGGCAUGGAGAGCUUAAUUAUUUUUAAUUAUUUUGCAAUAGUUCUUUUAACAUUUAAGCUUAUUUUUAAAAAAAUAAAAAAACUAUAAAAACAUAGACAAUUACAUAAAAAAUUGUAAAAUGUUAUUAUAAUUAUAUAUUACAGUUCAUCAUCGUGAACCCUGACACCAACUUUCCUCGUACUAAAACAAUUAUUAUCACGCAUCUCAAGCUGCAAAUAAUAAAUUCAUUGUCACUCAAACCUAAAAAUGUCAAUAAGUCGGGGUCGAGAUUCGGUUUCAAAAAAUUUGUCAAGUCUAAGCUUAUUUUCCAACUGGUUUAACCCGCCUAAAACACCCGUUUUAGUAUAAAAAAUAAGAUAUAUUAAAAUAUAUUUUUAGUUGAUAUUUUUAUAAAUAAAUUUAAAUUUUAAAAAUAUUAUUUUAUUAUUUAAAUUGAAUUUGAAUUGGAUUGGGUUGAGUUGAGACGAGGUGAAAAAUCAUUGUCCCUGAGUCGAGCCAAAUGAGCUACCCUACCUUUAGACAGGUCUAUUCAAACCUUUCACUUGGCAUUCUAUAUAAGUCUAAUCACCAUUACACUUCAAUCUUCUCAUUUCCUUAUUACUAAAAUCAAAGACUCCAUAGAAAAAUUUUUUUCCUUUAUUUUUAUAUAUAUUUUUAUAAAAUUUUAUUAAUUUUCUAUAAUUUUAUAGUUUUUUUUAAUAAUAUUUCAGUAGUUCUAAAAUGUUAUAAUACUUCAACAUUACUUUUUCAUAUUAUCAUAUUAUUUAAUAAAUUUAUGAUGAUUUAUUUAACAUUUUAGUCUAUUAUUUUCAACUAAAACUAUUAAACUCGUAUUCCAAAUAUAUAUUGAAAAUGCAAGAAAUUUCAUUUAUCUUUUUUAUUAUUAUUACUUAUUAGUUAUUAUGAUGUUUUUUAAUUGAAAAGAAAUAUAUCAUUAGAUUGAAAAACGAAGGAAAAAAUGGAUUGAAAAUCGAAUUAUGGUUUGACUUGAUUUGACCCAUGAAUAUGAGUAGUAAUAAGCCUCUACCUUUUGCUUCUACCAAGCUGGCACCGUGGUUGGUACUUGAUGCACAAGCAACAGUCAAGCAGUUGUUUAUAUUUAAAAUUUUAAUAAAAGAGAAAAUAUAUAAUUAUUAAAUAUUAAAUUAAAAACCACGUAAUAUUCUAUUAUUAGUACAUGUAUUUUGUAUAAGUUAUAAAUUCGGUUUUUAUAUUGUAUUAUUAGUACAUGUAGUAAUGAAAUUUUGCCAAAUAAUUUGUUAGUAGAAAUAAUUAAUGUUGUCAUCAAUGGUCUUUAGUAAGAGAUUUUUUACUCUGUAGAAGAAGACAAUAAAGUGUUAUUUGCUUAGAGUUGAUUGAUUUCUUAAGAAAUCCGAUAUCAUUCUCAGAGAGGGAUUAUGUUUCUUGAUUUUUUUUUUGAAAGUUUGAAUACUGGAAGAGGCAAUGUGUUCAUAGAGCUGACAAUGCCUCGCACAAUGCAUAGGCAAACCACUUAGCACAAGUGGAAUUCAACUUGCACCCAUGCCUCAUUUAGGACAUAGGUUCAAAUUCCAUCAAUUGCAACCUUUUUAGUUUCUUCAAUGGCUCGCUUGUUUAGACUUCUGACAAAGUAAUCCCGCUUUGUAAAUCCGUCAUCUCUUCAAAUAAUUGGGCUUUUGACAAUACCGAGAGACAAAACUCUCAUUAGGGACAAUACCAAACUCGUUAAAAGGCAUGCCGGUUUUAUGUUGACACACUUUGUGUAACGACUCAACUUUUGUCAAUGUAAAAAAAUUUGAUUUUCGGAUUGAAUUUCUUGAAUCGAGUCAUUCUGAAUAGUUGAAACGAAAGUGGUGAAAUAAAGAAAUCAUUAAGUAAAUUAUUAAGGAAAAUUUUGAAAUUAUAUUUAGAAGUUAACAAUUAUGGUACAAGGACUAACUUGUAAGGUAGCUAAAUUUAAGAGAUCUAAUAAGAGAUUAAAUCAAGGCCUUGUGAGCAAAUUGGCCACAACACAAAUUAAGUUAAUGGGAGAAUUAUGAUCUAAACCAUUAAUCUCCACUAACUAGUUUAGAUAUUAUCAUUAGCCAUUGAUUUAAGUGUUAAGAUUUAAUUAAAGUAAAGAAUAUAGGUUAGUGGUGAGAGAAAAUAAAACAUUUUUCACUUAGAAUUUUUCAUCUUCUUCCAUCGAAAUUGAGAGAAGGAAAAGAGAAAAUCAUUUUGAAAGUUCCUCCAUUGCCGAAGCUUCAACUCCAAGAGUGGGUAAGCUUUCUCUGAAUUUUUGUUUAAUUAAAUGGUGUUAAAUGAAAGUUUAGAGUUAGCUAUUAGUUUGAGUAUAAAAUUAAAAGAAACUAUACUAAAAUAACCAUGGGUAUUGAAUGCUUGAAGGAGUUGAGUAAGGGUUUUAUGUAUUCAUAACUUUCAAUUGAUAAAUUAGCUAUUAAGUGGCUACUUAAUGAUGGUUCAUGAUUUUGAUAUUUGUAUUUGUAUGUAUUUAUAUGUGUUGAAGAGAUAACUAGAGGGAGCUCUAGCAAGGAAAAAGACCAAGUCGUGAAGUGACGGCUUUUUGAAGAGUUUUCACUUGUUUUGGUCAUUUUGGAUAGGUAAGUUCACAUGGAAACUUCUAUAUUUACUUCUUGUCUGAGUGUAAUGUGAAUUGAAAUUAUGAUAUGUGGAAAUGUUUAAGUGUUAUAUGUAUAAUAGGUAAGUUAUGGGGUAUUGAAAAUGUGGUCCAAAUGGUUUUGAACUUGUCUUGCAUGUGAAUGUAUUCAAUGGUUAAAUAUAUUCUUAGAGAAGAGAACCAGAAAGUUGAUAGAUUGAUAAAGUUGGCUCACAUAAACAAGGGUUGCAAAUUUUUGAAAUCUCUCCGCUCUGGGGUUUAAAUUGUGUUUCUUUAUUUUCUUAUUUAUCACCAAAAAAUAAUAAUAAUAUUGUAAUGGCCUAAAUUCAAAAUUAUCGGAAUAGUGGUUUCGUAACAACCACAAAUUUGAUUUAAAGAGAAAUUAUUUUAAAAAAUUAUUGCAUGAAUAUUAAUAUAAUAGGAAAAUUGUAUGAAAAUAUCGAUAGAAAAAUUUUACCGAUUUAGUGGUUAGUUAGAAAAAAAUUUAUUAUUGAAGAAAUUGGGUAAAAACAAGGUAUCGAGAUCUCGAUCUCAUAAAAAUGAUUUGGAAAUAUUUUUAUAAAUAUUUAUGAAAUUUUAGUGAUUCGGUAUUAAAAUUUCGUUAGAAAAUUUUAAUGUUUGGGUAGUCAAUUAAAUGAAAAGGACUAAAUUGGAAAAUGUGUAAAAGUUACUAGAAUGAUUAAAUAGCUUAAGUGUCUAAUGAGAAAGGAUUUAAAAGAAAAUUAGACCCAAAAUUUAUUUGGGCUGGACGGCAAGGGCAUGAAAUCAGCAGGAAAAUUGAUGAUUUAAGGGCAAAAUUGGAAUAUUACAUAAUUAACUAAAUAAAAAUAGGACUAAAUAUGGAAUAUCUAGAUUUCUCUUCAUUUUUCUUCAUUCUUAUCAGCCAAAACGCCAUAGGAGGGGUUCUUUAAGUUGGUAUUUCAUAAUUUUUGCACCAAGUGAGUUAAUCCUUGCCUAUUUCUUGUAAUUUUUUGUGUUUCUAAGACUUUUACAACUUGGUCCUACUAUUAAAUUCAUUAGUUUUUGAUUUCAUGGAUGAAAUUGAAAGUCACCAUGGUUGAUUACUGUAAGUUUAUGAUGAAAUAGAAUGAAAUUGAAGCUUUAAUUUGUUUAUGAGAUGAUUUUAUUAGGUAAUUUCAAUAGAAUUGAUUUUUAGGACCUAAUUAUGAAAAUGUUUGGAAUUAAAGUCUAGUACUAAAAUUAUGAUUUCCAAAGACUGUAAAGUAGUUUAAAGUGAUAGAAUAAAGUGUUAAUUGAGAAAAAUCAGCUCAAUUGAGAGGCUAAUUGAGUAGAGACGAAAUUAUCAUUUAUUAAAAGCCUAGGGGAAAAAUGGUAAUAAACAGCUUGCACUAAAACAGUUUUAGACAGCAGCAGUAGGUUAACUUUGAAAAAUCACCAUAAAUUAUAGAAAUUGAAUUAGAAGAUUAACAAAAUAUGGAAUUAAAUAUUAUUGAGUAUAGUUUCUCAUAGAAGAAACGGUGUAAGUAAUAGAAUUGUAAAUCAUGAGAUAUAAUAAAUUUUGUGAGACAAGGUCAGAAUGAAUUCGGGUUCCCCUGUUCUGACUUUGAAAAAUCAUAAAAAAAUUUAAAAAAUAAUUAAGGGCUUAAAUUUAUAUUUUUAGAAUCCUGAAUGAGUAUAUUUUCAAGGAAAACAAACAGGAACAUCAUCCAAAUCCUGUAUGAAGAGAUAAUUAAUUUUUAGUGAAGAAGGGUCAGAACUGUCAGACAGCAGAAUAGGGGUGACUUUAAAAAAUAAACUGUACUUAUCGGCUAAACUAAAAAUUCUGAAAAUUUUAUGGUAAGAAGAUAUGUGAGCCUAAUUUUAGGGAAAAUUAGCAGAUCCUAAUUUGGAGUUCUGUAGCUCAAGAUAAAAAUAAUUUAGUGACUGUGACUUAAGUAGACAGCUUUUGAUGAACUAUAAAUAACAGUGGAAUUAUAGAGAAUGUUGCAUAUGAACAUGAAAUUUAUUAAAUUGAUAAUUAAAUUUAUUUAUUUAGAUCCAGAAGAUUCAAAGACAAAGCUAGAUCGAGGAAAGAAAAAAGUUCGGGAUUAGUAGAUUUUUGUAUACGAACAAGUAUCGAGGUAAGUUCAUGUAACUUGAAUUAUAUUCUUAAAUGCUUGAAAUGUAUGUUAUUGAUGUGAAUAUGAUUUUAAUAUUCAUUGUAUGGAAAUCGAUGAAACAUUGAUAUAUUUGAUAAAAGGGGAAGAAAUCUCGGUUGAAUGAAAGGAAAAUUUGAUGGAUCUCUGAAAAGGAAUGACGAUAAAAAGGAUCUAGCCCGGACAGAUGAUCCUAUCUUGAUAUAGCCCUCCCGAAGAAUAUGUGUAAAAUGGAUUUAGCCUGUAUGGGUAAUUUGAAUCAGGGUCUGAAUUUAGCCAGGACUGGUAAUUCAGAUCCAAGCUCAUUAGAGUAAUUGUCGUUGCAGGGGAUUUAGCCUGGACUGAUAAUCCUGCUGUAAGGAUGAGGUUCGCGGGAGUGUGCUCUCUGAAAUGGAAAUGUGCGCACAUGAAUAUGAAUUGAUGGACCCAGAAAUGUACACUAAAAGUGUACCUCUAAAAAUCUAUCGAAAUUCUAAGAAAUUCAACGGGAUAAAUAUGGAAAAAUAUUAAAGGAAUGGAAAUCAUGGUAUUGAUGAGUUCAUCAAUCAUGGUAUAUAUUAUUGAUACAUGGAAAUUAUUGGACUAACUUGAAUGUUGAGUUUGUGCAUGUUAGGGUAAUAAUACAUUGAAUGUAUAUUUGAAUUUUUAUUGCAUUGUAUUGAAAAUAUUAGGUAAGUAUAAUUCUUGUUACAUGAGCUUACUAAGCAUAAGGUGCUUACCCUAUUUCCAUUUUUCCUGUUUUGUAGUUUUAAGAGCUCGGAGGUCAGAUUUGAUCGGAGACACAUCACACUAUCAACUUCAAGAUUUUGGUAUAUCAAGAAACUUUAUUUUGGAAAUCAAUGGCAUGUAUAAGCUAAUAAAGUAAAUGUUAAUGUGAAAUGAAUGUAAGGUCAGUCAUUGGUAUGGCUAACAAAUCUUGGUUUUGGUAUGUGAUGAGGUUAUCUUAUAAAAAUGCAUGAAUCUAUCUUGAAAAUAUGUUGAAUUGGAUCGGUUAAUAUGGAUUGGUCUCGGUUUAAAAUUACAGGGAAGGUUAGAUAUCUAUAAAGGGGCUAUAUUGAGUAAAAAAAAUUAAUUCGUAAACUCCGGUAAUACCUCGUACCCUAUUCCGGCAACGAAUAGGGGUAGGGGGUAUUACAUUUAUUGGUAUCAGAGCUAUGAGUUAACCGGUUCUAGGACCGAUGUAGUAAAUACGGGAUUAGCUAUACAUGCCAUUUAAAUUAUUAUUGAUAGCGUGAUAUCUCUUGACCAUUUAAAAUGUAUUUUUCUUAUAGUAAUGUCAUCCGACCGAACUCAAUCUGAGGAAGUUGGGAGUCAUGCUCUGGCUUCAGUACAAAGAGAAAAAACUAUCAGUAGAAGGCCCGAGACAGAAUGUAAUGAACCGAAAGUUACGGUAUCAGAAAUUGAGUCUUGAGUACUGUUUCCUUGAAAUUUAUUCAUGAAUAUUUAUUAGAAAUAUUUAUGAAUUAUAGUUGAAUGGUUAUUUAGUGUUUAAUUAAGUGAAGUAGCUUGAAUUUAGUUUAAAGGAUUAAAUUGCAUAAGGAAUAAAAGUUUAAUUAUAGAUUAAAGAAGUAAAAGGGACUAAUCUAACAAUUAGACCCUAAGUGCCAUGUGUGUGAAUGUAUGAUAUAACAUGUGUAAUAGUUGGUAUAUAUGUGUAAUAGCUAUAAGAUAUUUUAUGUUAUAGCUAUUACACAUGUUAAUUUUAUAUUUAUUAUAGGUUAAUAAUAUUAUAAUAUAGUAUAAAGAAUAAAGAAUAAUGAGUAAAGAAACAUAGAAAGAGUUACAGAGAGCAAACGUGAGAAAGAAAGAAAUAAAUAAAUAAAAAAGGGAAAUUUGAGGAUUAAGGCCCUAAAGCUUGAUUGGUAAGUUGUUUUAGCUCAUUUUCUUAUGAUUUUUAUGUUUAUGGAUGCCUAAUUCAAAGUUCUACAUGUAUGAGGUUAAAAUGAAGAAAAAUAGAAAAUUUUUAGAUAUUGAUUUAGUUGAAUAAAUUGAGGUUUUAUGGGUUAAAUUGAUAGGAAUUGAAGUUAGAAGUGAAAAUUGAGUGAUUUAUUAAAAGAAUUCUAAGUUAGGUUUAAAUAGGGAUUAAGUUGAAUAGAGCUCAAAAUUUAUGUUUUAUAAUGAAUUUUAUGAGUUAGAAAUUGUUAAUGAGUUGAUUAAAAGAGAAUAUGAAGCUUAAGUUAAAGAAAAAAAGAUUAGUAAUGGAAAAAUGACGAAAUUGGAAUUUUUGUAAAAGUUUGAUAGAAAGUGAAAAUGUGUUUUAUGAAUUAGUAUAUUGAUGAUUUUUAAUUGUAUGAUUGUUAGUAGCAAACGUAGCACCGGAUACGUCAUCAAAGAAGGGAAAAGAGAAAGUGAACGAAGAUAUCGAUUAAAUUCGAUAAAUAGUGGUUUGUAUUUCUAUAAACCGAGCUUAAUCGUUAUUGCUAUAUUUGAUAUUUAUAUUGUAUGAAAAUGUGAAUGAGGUAAGUAUUUUUACCAUAUUGAAAUGAAUGUAAUUUUGAAUACCCUAUUAACAGUGUCGGACUAGUCGGAUAUAGUUGACAUGUCAUAGGAAUUGGAAGUAUUGGGAUAUUCCGACAUUGAGUCGAUGAGACACUAUGUGUCGACUACUAUUAAAGUUCUGGAUUUGUUCCGAUGAAGUACUUUGGGUACUAUAAUGUUAAAGUUCUGGAUUUAUUCCGAUGAAGCACUAUGUGCUUAUCCCGGAGUGUGGGUUGGAUCCGUGUAUCCGUCAGUGUCCAAGUUAUGUUAAUAAGGGUAAAUAAAGUAAAGAUUAUUAAAGUACUGAUUGAUAUUGAAUAAUAGCAAUAAUGUGUUUGAAUUACCAUGUUUUAAAGUUGAUUAAGCUAUUGUUUAUAGAAAUACCACUGAGAGUAUUCUCAGCGUACGGUUUGUUUCCGUGGGCAGGCUAGGUACGAAAGUAUAAGGACUCAGCAUACAAGCCGAUCCCCGAACUCAAAUUGGUGAAGUUUCUAUCUUUUUGGAAAAUGGCAUUGUACCUAGGAUGUCUUUUGGUCAUUUUGAAAGUAUCUAAGUUGUUAAGUGAUAUUUUGGUAUGUUUUGUAAAUGUUACCAAAACCUUAAGUAUGGUAUGUUUUGAUAUGUUAGUGAAGAGUAAUAAGAGGAAUUGUUGGUAAAUGUUGUAGAGAGAAGAAAUGAAGAUGUUAUAAACUUAGUUAUCAACAUUUUUUACUAAAACAGAUUUGGACAGUAGCGGUAGUCCAACUUUGAAAAUAUACCAAAAAUAGUAUAAAGUGAAUUAGAUAAUGAAUAAAAUUUUUAAUUGAAUCUUAAUGAAUCUAUUUUUAUAUGGAGUAAACAAAAUAGGUAAAAGAGUUGUAUUUUAUGAGAUAUUUACGUUUUGGUGAAACAGGGUUAGAACAAUUUCUGGAUUCUCUGUUCUAACUUUAGAAAUUCACCAUAAAUUGUGUAUUAAGAAUUAGGACUCAAAAUUUAUUUGUAUGGAUUUCUUAUUGAGUCUAUUUUUAAUUGAAGUAAAUGACAUAGUCAUUGGAUUUCUGUACAGGAAUAAAUUUGAUUCGUAGUGCACAAGGGUCAGAGUAGCCGAACCCUGAAAUAGGGGAGACUUCUUCUAAUAAACUGUACUAAUUGGCCUGACCAAAAAUUCUAGAAAAAAAUUAGUAAGUAUAUAUAUGAGUCUAGUUUCAGGUAAAAUUUACGGAAUUGGAUUUUGAGUUUCGUAACUCGAGAUAUAAUUUUUUUAGCGACCGUGAUGCAGAUGGAUAGUUUAUUACGAAAACUGUUUAAGUGCUAAGAUAAGUUUUGUAAUGUCUCCUGCUUGACUCCGGCAACGGUCUCGGGUAGGGGGACGUUACAAUAUUGAUUGGUAUCAGAGCUAAUUAGGUUUAGUCAGUUCUAGGACUAAAUCAAAUGUCAAUGUGAAUCUAGAGGUACAUGCCAUUACUGAGUCAAAUUUGAGUUGGGAUUGGAUGCUGAUAUGUUUAUUGAAUAUUUCCGUUUUAUAGCAUUAAGAAUGUCUGAUAAAAGCAUUGAGGAUACUGAUCAAGAGAUGUAUAGUGAAGAUCAUGAACCGUAUAAUGUGAAUGAAUUGGAGUCUGAAUUGUCUAAAGUUAUGAUAGAAGUGUCUAGUCCACUGGGACAAACUACUUUAGUGAACCAUAUAUGUCGAAGAUGUUCGUUAAUGAUUCAAGAUAGAAUAUUCCCUGUUGAUCUGUUGAUUAUGCCAUUUGGCGACUUUGAUGUUAUUUUGGGAAUGGACUGGUUAUCAGAACAUGGAGUGAUUUUAGACUGUUAUAAGAAGAAGUUUAUUGUUCAGAAUGAAAGUGAAGAUACGAUUGAAGUAAAUGGUAUUCGGACUAGUGGAUCAAUUUGUAUUGUUUCGGCCAUUAAAGCUAGCAAGCUUCUUCAUCGAGGUUAUAAUGCUUUCUUACCAUAUGUGAUUAAUUCGGAUUCAGUUGAAAGUCAGUGUAGUAAAAUUCGGACUGUAUGUGAAUUUUCUGAUGUAUUCCCUAAGGAAUUACCUAGAUUACCCCCUGAUUAAGAGGUAGAAUUUGUGAUUGAAGUCUACCCAGGUACAGAUCCGGUAUCGAUACCUCCGUACCGUAUGGCACUUACUGAGCUAAAGGAAUUAAAAGUACAGUUGCAAGACUUAUUGGACAGAGGUUUUAUACGACCUAGUACAUCACCAUGGGGAGCUCCAAUGUUAUUUGUUAAGAAGAAAGAUGGGUCGAUGCGGUUGUGCAUUGAUUAUCGACAACUCAAUAAAGUGACUGUCAAGAACAAGUAUCCACUUCCCCGAAUAGAUGAUUUGUUUGAUCAACUGAAAGGAGCUUCCGUAUUUUCAAAGAUUGACCUGAGGUCGGGAUACUAUCAGUUGAAAGUAAAAGAGUGCAACAUAUUGAAGACGACAUUCCGUACGAGGUAUGGACAUUAUGAAUUCUUAGUAAUGCCAUUUGGACUGACAAAUGCCCCUGCUGCUUUUAUGAAUCUUAUGAAUCAGAUUUUUCAGCCAUACUUGGAUCAGUUCGUAGUAGUUUUUAUUGAUGAUAUUUUGGUGUUUUCCAAGUCAGAAAAAGAUCAUGAGCAACAUCUCCAGAUUGUUUUGCAAAUACUACGAGAAAAGCAAUUAUACGGAAAAUUGAGCAAGUGUGAAUUCUAGUUAUCAGAAGUUGUGUUUCUUGGUCAUGUCGUAUCAACAGAUGGAAUUAGAGUAGAUCCAAAGAAGAUUGAAGCAGUUAUUCAGUGGAAAGUUCCUAAGAAUGUAUCAGAGGUACGAAGUUUUCUUGGAUUGGCUGGUUACUAUUGAAGAUUCGUCAACGGAUUUUCAAAGAUAGCCUUACCGAUGACCAAGCUACUACAGAAGAAUAUUCCAUUUGUUUGGAAUGAGCAAUGUCAGAAAAGUUUUGAAGCAUUGAAACGAAUGUUAACAGAGGCACCGGUAUUGACUUUACCAGAAUCAGAAAGAGAUUUUGUAGUGUACAGUGAUGCUUCAUUGAGUGGACUGGGAUGUGUACUGAUGUAGAACGGGAAAGUCAUUGCUUAUGCUUCACAGCAACUGAAACCACAUGAACGCAACUAUCCAACUCAUGAUUUAGAAUUAGCAGCUGUAAUUUUUGCCUUAAAGAUUUGGAGGCACUAUCUUUAUGGUGAAAAGUGUUAUGUUUAUACGGAUCAUAAAAGUUUGAAGUAUCUGCUUUCGCAAAAAAAAUUGAAUCUGAGAAAAAGGCGUUGGAUAGAGCUUCUAAAAGACUAUGAUUGUGUCAUAGACUAUCAUCCAGGGAAGGCUAAUGUAGUAGCCGAUGCACUGAGUAGAAAAGCUGCGAUUGAAUUACGAGCAAUGUUUGCACAACUUAGUAUCACUGAAGAUGGAAGCCUUUUGACUGAAUUAAGAAUAAAGCCAGUAAUGUUUGAUCGAAUCAGAUCAGCACAGUUAGAAGAUGAUAAGUUGUUAAAGAAAAGAGAGAUGAUUCGGAAUGGUACAACAGAAAAUUUUAGCAUUGAUGGAAAUGGCUGUCUAAGAUUUCAGAAUCGACUUUGCAUUCCGAAUAAUUCUGAGUUGAAAGAGUUAAUUCUUCGAGAAGCUCAUAAUAGUCCAUUUGCAUUUCAUCCUGGAGGUAUGAAAAUGUAUCGUGAUUUGCGUGAAUUGUAUUAGUGGUCGGGAAUGAAAAAGGAUAUAACUGAAUAUGUGGCAAAGUGUUUGACUUGUCAACGAGUGAAGGCAGAACAUCAAGUUCCAUCGAGAUUACUUCAACCCAUCAAUAUUCCUGAAUGGAAAUGGGACCGAAUAACGAUGGACUUUGUGACGGGAUUACCGAUGUCUACAAGUAAAAAGAAUGCUAUUUGGGUAAUAGUUGAUCGACUUACGAAGUCAGCUCAUUUCUUAGCUGUGAAAACCGAUUGGUCGUUAAAGAAACUUGCUGAGGUUUAUGUUCGGGAAAUCAUUAGAUUAUAUGGUAUUCCAAAAUAAAUAAUUUCUGACAGAGAUCCAAGGUUUACGUCAAGGUUUUGGAAGCAAUUACAUGAAUCUUUUGGUACUCGACUUCACUUUAGUACAGCUUUUCAUCCACAGACUGAUGGUCAAUCUGAACGGGUAAUACAAAUUUUAGAAGAUAUGCUUCGAGCCUGUAUGAUUGAUUUUGAGUCUAACUGGGAAUAUUAUUUGUCAUUAGCCGAAUUUGUAUAUAAUAAUAGUUUCCAGUCAAGUAUACAGAUGGCACCGUAUGAGGCUUUGUAUGGACGAAGAUGCCGAUCAUCCGUAUGUUGGACAGAACUGAAUGAGAAGAAGAUGAUUGGACCUGAAUUGGUUCAAGAAACGGAAAGUACAGUUAAGAAAAUUCAGGAAAGAUUGAAAACAGCUUUUGAUAGACAGAAAUCGUAUGCAGAUUUGAAACGACGGGAUAUUGAAUACUUAGUUGGGGAUAAAGUAUUUUUAAAGGUUUCACCUUGGAAGAAAAUUCUAAGAUUUGGUCAAAAAGGAAAAUUAAGUCCUCGUUUUAUUGGGCCUUACGAAGUUAUUGAGAGAAUUGGACCAGUAGCGUAUCGAUUGGCCUUACCUCUUGAACUACAGAAAAUGCACGAUGUCUUCUAUGUUUCUAUGCUAAGAAGAUACCGAUCAGAUCCUUCACAUGUUAUUACUACCGAGAAUGUAGAGAUUCGACCUGACUUAUCGUAUGAAGAAGAACCAGUUGAGAUUCUAGCACGAGAGGUAAAAGAAUUACGUAAUAAACGUAUUCCUUUAGUAAAAGUGCUAUGGUGAAGUCACAGUGUUGAAGAAGCUACAUGGGAACCAGAAGAAACGAUGAGAUCUCAAUACCCCCAUCUCUUUUCAGGUAAAUUUCGAGAACGAAAUUUAUUAAGGGGGAGAGAAUUGUAAUGAACCGAAAGUUACGGUAUCGGAAAUUGAGUCUUGAGUACUGUUUCUUUGAAAUUUAUUCAUGAAUAUUUAUUAGAAAUAUUUAUGAAUUAUAGUUGAAUGGUUAUUUAGUGUUUAAUUAAGUGAAGUAGCUUGAAUUUAGUUUAAAGGAUUAAAUUGCAUAAGGAAUAAAAGUUUAAUUAUAGAUUAAAGAAGUAAAAGGGACUAAUCUAACAAUUAGACCCUAAGUGCCAUGUGUGUGAAUGUAUGAUAUAACAUGUGUAAUAGUUGGUAUAUAUGUGUAAUAGCUAUAAGAUAUUUUAUGUUAUAGCUAUUACACAUGUUAAUUUUAUAUUUAUUAUAGGUUAAUAAUAUUAUAAUAUAGUAUAAAGAAUAAAGAAUAAUGAGUAAAGAAACAUAGAAAGAGUUACAGAGAGCAAACGUGAGAAAGAAAGAAAGAAAUAAAUAAAAAAGGGAAAUUUGAGGAUUAAGGCCCUAAAGCUUGAUUGGUAAGUUGUUUUAGCUCAUUUUCUUAUGAUUUUUAUGUUUAUGGAUGCCUAAUUCAAAGUUCUACAUGUAUGAGGUUAAAAUGAAGAAAAAUAGAAAAUUUUUAGAUAUUGAUUUAGUUGAAUAAAUUGAGGUUUUAUGGGUUAAAUUGAUAGGAAUUGAAGUUAGAAGUGAAAAUUGAGUGAUUUAUUAAAAGAAUUCUAAGUUAGGUUUAAAUAGGGAUUAAGUUGAAUAGAGCUCAAAAUUUAUGUUUUAUAAUGAAUUUUAUGAGUUAGAAAUUGUUAAUGAGUUGAUUAAAAGAGAAUAUGAAGCUUAAGUUAAAGAAAAAAAGAUUAGUAAUGGAAAAAUGACGAAAUUGG
rnacentral:lncRNA from 1 species